rnacentral:rRNA from 1 species
UCUGGUAUGAAAGGUUUGACGAGAUAUUAACUGUUUCAUAAUAAUUUAUAAUAGAAUUUUAUUUUUUAGUCAAAAAGCUAAAAUAUAUUUAAAAGACGAGAAGACCCUAUAAAUCUUUAUAUUUAGAUUAUUAUAAUUUUAUAGAUUUUUUUUAUUAUAAUAAUCAAUGAUAUUUUAUUGGGGUGAUAUUAAAAUUUAAUAAACUUUUAAUUGUUAAAAUCAUUAAUUUAUGAAUAAUUGAUCCGUUAUUAGCGAUUAAAAAAAUAAGUUACCUUAGGGAUAACAGCG